GGAUCAAUACGUCGGUCGUGCCUCUGGUAUGUACUGGUGUUAUUGAUUCCUCCUUUCUGAUGAACCAUGAUGUCAUUAAUUUGGUGUUGUGGGAAGUCAGGACUGUUACUUUGAAAAAUUAGAGUGUUUAAAGCAGGCCCACGCCUGAAUACAUUAGCAUGGAAUAAUGAAAUAGGACGUUCGAUCCUAUUUUGUUGGUUUCUAGGAUCAACGUAAUGAU
rnacentral:rRNA from 1 species